rnacentral:miRNA from 1 species
UAUGAUAGGCGUGACGAUGUCU